UUUGAACGCGAAAGACCUUACCAUCCUUUGACAUGGCGUGUUACCCAGAGAGAUCUGGGUUCCCCCUUCGGGGGCGCGCACACAGGUGCUGCAUGGCUGUCGUCAGCUCGUGUCGUGAGAUGUUGGGUUAAGUCCCGCAACGAGCGCAACCCACGUCCUUAGUUGCCAUCAUUCAGUUGGGCACUCUAGGGAGACUGCCGGUGAUAAGCCGCGAGGAAGGUGUGGAUGACGUCAAGUCCUCAUGGCCCUUACGGGAUGGGCUACACACGUGCUCCAAUGGCGGUGACAGUGGGAAGCGAAGGGGCGACCUGGAGCAAAUCCCCAAAAGCCGUCUCAGUUCGGAUUGCACUCUGCAACUCGAGUGCAUGAAGGCGGAAUCGCUAGUAAUCGUGGAUCAGCAUGCCACGGUGAAUACGUUCCCGGGUCUUGUACACACGCA
rnacentral:rRNA from 1 species